rnacentral:rRNA from 1 species
UACGUAGGGGGCAAGCGUUGUCCGGAAUCAUUGGGCGUAAAGAGCGCGUAGGCGGCCCUGUAAGUCCGCUGUGAAAGUCAAGGGCUCAACCCUUGAAUGCCGGUGGAUACUGCAGGGCUAGAGUCCGGAAGAGGCGAGUGGAAUUCCUGGUGUAGCGGUGAAAUGCGCAGAUAUCGGGAGGAACACCAAUUGCGAAGGCAGCUCGCUGGGACGUUACUGACGCUGAGACGCGAAAGCGUGGGGAGCAAACAGG